rnacentral:rRNA from 1 species
AUUGAACGCUGGCGGCAGGCCUAACACAUGCAAGUCGCACGAGUGGCGGACGGGUGAGUAAUGUCUGGGCACCUGCCCGCUGGAGGGGGAUAACUACUGGAAACGGUAGCUAAUACCGCAUACCAUCGGAUGUGCCCAGAUGGGAUUAGCUAGUAGGUGGGGUAACGGCUCACCUAGGCGACGAUCCCUAGCUGGUCUGAGAGGAUGACAAGCCAAACUGGAACUGAGACACGGUCCAGAAUCCGACGGGAGGCAGCAGUGGGGAAUAUUGCACAAUGGGCGAAAGCCUGACGCAGCCAUGCCGCGUGUAUGAAGAAGGCCGUCGGGUGGUAAAGGACUUUCAGCGAGGAGGCGUUAAUCGCAGAAGAAGCAACGGCUAACUCCGUGCCAGCAGCCGCGGUAAUAC